ACGUUAGGAGGACAUCCACCACCGUGCGUUUCAACGGUGCAUCAUCAACACAAACCAAAUCCCGGUACCAACAUAGCUUAACCAAACGGAAUUUCGUAAAUGAACUAUACACGCACCAAAUCGCAAAUUAUUAACAGAACCUGAAUUUCUUAAACGAUUAACAACAAUUUUGAAUUACUUGUAACCAAAAUUAACUAAACAAACAAACACAUUCAGCAUGCUUUUGCAAUUUGCAGUUUAAUACACAGAUCAUAACAUACUCGAGCCCAUGGUUAGACUACAACAACGAAAUAGUUUGUUUCGAAUAGUUACCGUCGUGUCGUCGUGUUGAACCUGCUACUGGGUAGUCUCUAUCAAGGUUUUAUGGCUGCUCCGUCAAAGUUGUUGUGCGAGUUUGAAUUAGUACGCGGUGGUUCUUCGAAUCAAGGUCUCCAAGACGUUCCAAAAGACCAAAUCCAAUGAGCUGGAACCGUUUUAAAAAGGACCUUGCAUCAAAAUCACAAUAACAACAGAGUAACAAGCUGUGCGCAUGAUCGAAACCUCGCCAUCAACAUCGCCGACAUGACAAUGCAUGAUUUCGUGGCUGUAGUGAUAUGUUGAGGCGCUUGUGAUUACAAAUCGGACCGAGUCUUGUGGACAAUGCGUUCGUGAAUGUUGUUGUAGUAAUAACCGUAAAUAGAGAGGGAUGAGCAGUGGAUCAGAAUCGGAGGUGGUUCCGAGUUGUCGGCGGAACAAGAAGUACAACGGUGAAAGGAGAUUUAAGGCUCGCCGGCUUUAGAUCGCGGCGGUUGAGGGUGGUUGGGUAGUGGCGCGAUGAAGAAGAGGCGGAUCUGUGGUGUUUGGUGCGGUUGUCGCUUGGUGUGGGUGGCGAUUUUGAUGGCGGACGGUGAUGGAUUUUCGUGUGGUUGUCGUUGACGGAAGGGUUUGUGGAGGGUUAGUGAUUUACGGUGGGGAUGAGUUUGUGAUGAAGAGGAAGACGAUG
rnacentral:lncRNA from 1 species